rnacentral:rRNA from 1 species
ACGAACGCUGGCGGCAGGCCUAACACAUGCAAGUCGAACGGCCGUAGCAAUACGGAGUGGCAGACGGGUGAGUAACGCGUGGGAACAUACCCCUCGGGUUCGAAUAACUCAGGGAAACUUGAGCUAAUACCGGAUACGUCCGAGGUUUUAAUCGACCUUGGAGAAAGAUUUAUCGCCGGAGGAUUGGCCCGCGUCUGAUUAGCUUGCUGGUGAGGUAAUGGCUCACCAAGGCGACGANCAGUAGCUGGUCUGAGAGGAUGAUCAGCCACAUUGGGACUGAGACACGGCCCAAA